GAUGAACGCUAGCGGCAGGCCUAACACAUGCAAGUCGAGGGGGAAGUUACUUUCGGGUAACUGAGACCGGCGUACGGGUGCGUAACGCGUAUACAAUCUGCCUUUCACUGGGGGAUAGCCCGAAGAAAUUUGGAUUAAUACCCCAUAGUAUAGUAGUGUGGCAUCACACAACUAUUAAAGCUUAGGUGGUGAAAGAUGAGUAUGCGUUCUAUUAGCUAGUUGGAGAGGUAACGGCUCCCCAAGGCGAUGAUAGAUAGGGGUUCUGAGAGGGAUGUCCCCCACACUGGUACUGAGAUACGGACCAGACUCCUACGGGAGGCAGCAGUGAGGAAUAUUGGACAAUGGUCGGAAGACUGAUCCAGCCAUGCCGCGUGCAGGAUGAAGGUCUUAUGGAUUGUAAACUGCUUUUGUAAGGGAAGAAUAAGGACUACGUG
rnacentral:rRNA from 1 species